rnacentral:lncRNA from 1 species
GGAUGUGAGGGUGAUCUGGUUGCGAUGUCACCCCGUUGAUGGCCAGGGCUGAUUCAGCUGAUCUGGCUGGCUAGACGGGUGUCCCCUUCCCCCCUCACUGCUCCACAUGCAUCCCUCCCGAAGCUGCGAGCUCCGUCGAAGAGGACGAUCGUCCCCAAUAGAGGAGGACGGGUCUUCAGUCAAGGGUAUAUGAGCAGCUGCGGUCCUCUGCU